UAGAGUUUGAUCCUGGCUCAGGAUGAACGCUAGCGACAGGCUUAACACAUGCAAGUCGAGGGGCAGCGGGGCGGCAGGCUUGCCUGCCGCCGCCGGCGACCGGCGCACGGGUGAGUAACACGUAUGCAACCUGCCCGUGGCAGGGGGAUAAGCGGGGGAAACCCCGUCUAAUACCGCGUAACGCGGCCUUGGGGCAUCCCCGGGCCGCCAAAGGGAGCAAUCCCGGCCACGGAUGGGCAUGCGGCGCAUUAGCUAGUCGGCGGGGUAACGGCCCACCGAGGCGACGAUGCGUAGGGGUUCUGAGAGGAAGGCCCCCCACACUGGUACUGAGACACGGACCAGACUCCUACGGGAGGCAGCAGUGAGGAAUAUUGGUCAAUGGGCGCGAGCCUGAACCAGCCAAGUCGCGUGAGGGAAGACGGCCCUACGGGUUGUAAACCUCUUUUGCCGGGGAGCAACGGGCGCCACGUGUGGCGCCACUGAGAGUACCCGGAGAAAAAGCAUCGGCUAACUCCGUGCCAGCAGCCGCGGUAAUACGGAGGAUGCGAGCGUUAUCCGGAUUUAUUGGGUUUAAAGGGUGCGUAGGCGGAGCGUUAAGUCAGUGGUCAAAUUGAGGGGCUCAACCCCUUCCCGCCAUUGAAACUGGCGCUCUUGAGUGGAAGAGAAGUAUGCGGAAUGCGUGGUGUAGCGGUGAAAUGCAUAGAUAUCACGCAGAACCCCGAUUGCGAAGGCAGCAUGCCGGCUUCCUACUGACGCUGAGGCACGAAAGCGUGGGGAGCAAAUAGGAUUAGAUACCCUAGUAGUCCACGCCGUAAACGAUGAGGACCAAGUGUUGGGGAAGACCCAGUGCUGCAGUUAACGCAGUGAGUCCUCCGCCUGGGGAGUAUGCACGCAAGUGUGAAACUCAAAGGAAUUGACGGGGGCCCGCACAAGCGGUGGAGUAUGUGGUUUAAUUCGAAGCAACGCGAAGAACCUUACCAGGCCUUGACAUAGGGUGCGAAGCUAUGGAGACAUAGUGGAGGUAAACAUCCAUACAGGUGGUGCAUGGUUGUCGUCAGCUCGUGUCGUGAGAUGUUCAGUUAAGUCUGGCAACGAGCGCAACCCUCGUGAUGUGUUACCAAUAUCGAGUUAGGGACUCACAUCAGACUGCCGGUGAGAAACCGGAGGAAGGCGGGGAUGACGUCAAAUCAUCAUGCCCCUUAUGGCCUGGGCUACACACGUACUACAAUGGCGGCGACAGAGGGCAGCGAGCCUGCGAAGGCAAGCGAAUCCCCAAAAAGCCGUCCCAGUUCGGAUUGGAGUCUGCAACCCGACUCCAUGAAGUUGGAAUCGCUAGUAAUCGCGGAUCAGCAUGCCGCGGUGAAUACGUUCUCGGGCCUUGCACACACCGCCCGUCAAG
rnacentral:rRNA from 1 species